UACGUAGGGUGCAAGCGUUUAAUCGGAAUUACUGGGCGUAAAGCGUGCGCAGGCGGUUUUGUAAGUUUGUCGUGAAAUCCCCGGGCUCAACCUGGGAAUUGCGAUGAAGACUGCAAGGCUAGAAUCUGGCAGAGGGGGGUAGAAUUCCACGUGUAGCAGUGAAAUGCGUAGAGAUGUGGAGGAACACCGAUGGCGAAGGCAGCCCCCUGGGUCAAGAUUGACGCUCAUGCACGAAAGGCGUGGG
rnacentral:rRNA from 1 species